rnacentral:sRNA from 1 species
GGCGAAUGCGUUCUGCAUUCGCGAAAGUAAACGAAAGAAGUACAAGAAAUAUGACGCAAGGAACCGUGAAAUGGUUCAACGGCGAAAAGGGCUUCGGCUUCAUCGCCCCCGAUGACGGCAGUGCGGACGUCUUCGUCCACUACUCCGAGAUCCAGGGCGGUGGCUACCGCUCACUGGAGGAGAAUCAGCGGGUUCAGUUCGAGGUAGGACAGGGCGCCAAGGGCCCCCAGGCCACCGGAGUGACCGCGGUCUGAUCUUUACGUAAUCUGUGGGCCGGCAAGGGAUUACCCUUGUCGGCCCAC